CGAAUCGCCCUUCGGGGUGCCCCGGCGCGAAAACUUUACAAUGCGGGAAACCGUGAUAAGGGGACACCGAGUGCCAGCAUCAUAUGCUGGCUGUCCAGGUGUGUAAAAUACACCUGUCAGCAAGGGCCGGGCAAGACCGGUGCCAGCCGCCGCGGUAACACCGGCGGCCCGAGUGGUGAUCGUGAUUAUUGGGUCUAAAGGGUCCGUAGCCGGUUUGGUCAGUCCUCCGGGAAAUCUGACGGCUCAACCGUUAGGCUUUCGGGGGAUACUGCCAGGCUUGGAACCGGGAGAGGUAAGAGGUACUACAGGGGUAGGAGUGAAAUCUUGUAAUCCCUGUGAGACCACCUGUGGCGAAGGCGUCUUACCAGAACGGGUUCGACGGUGAGGGACGAAAGCUGGGGGCACGAACCGGAUUAGAUACCCGGGUAGUCCCAGCCGUAAACGAUGCUCGCUAGGUGUCAGGCAUGGCGCGACCGUGUCUGGUGCCGCAGGGAAGCCGUGAAGCGAGCCACCUGGGAAGUACGGCCGCAAGGCUGAAACUUAAAGGAAUUGGCGGGGGAGCAC
rnacentral:rRNA from 1 species